UACGAAGGGGGGCUAGCGUUGCCUCGGAAUUACUGGGCGUAAAGGGCGCGUAGGCGGACAGUUUAGUCAGAGGUGAAAGCCCAGGGCUCAACCUUGGAAUUGCCUUUGAUACUGACUGUCUUGAGUUCGGGAGAGGUGAGUGGAAUGCCGAGUGUAGAGGUGAAAUUCGUAGAUAUUCGGCGGAACACCAGUGGCGAAGGCGACUCACUGGCCCGAUACUGACGCUGAGGCGCGAAAGCGUGGGGAGCAAACAGGG
rnacentral:rRNA from 1 species